rnacentral:rRNA from 1 species
UAAUAUCCAUCUCGUAUGGAUUAAAGCUUUAUGCGCUUUGGGAGGGGCCUGCGUAACAUUAGCUAGUUGGUGAGGUAAAAAGCUCACCAAGGCUUCGAUGUUUAACUGGUUUGAGAGGAUGACCAGUCACACUGGGACUGAGAUACGGCCCAGACUCCUACGGGAGGCAGCAGUAAGGAAUCUUCCACAAUGGGGCAACCCUGAUGGAGCAAUACCGCGUGCAGGAUGAAGCGUUUCGGCGUGUAAACUGCUUUAUCACCGAAGAUUAUGACUGUAGGUGAAGAAUAAGGACCGGCUAACUACGUG